GCGACCCCAGGAUGGGCGGGGCCACCCGCCGAGUUUAAGCAUAUCAAUAAGCGGAGGAGAAGAAACUUACGAGGAUUCCCCUAGUAACGGC
rnacentral:rRNA from 1 species